UACGUAGGGCGCAAGCGUUGUUCGGAAUUAUUGGGCGUAAAGAGCUCGUAGGCGGUUUGUCGCGUCGGGAGUGAAAACGCCGUGCUUAACACGGCGCUUGCUUUCGAUACGGGCAGACUAGAGGUAUGCAGGGGAGAACGGAAUUCCUGGUGUAGCGGUGAAAUGCGCAGAUAUCAGGAGGAACACCGGUGGCGAAGGCGGUUCUCUGGGCAUUACCUGACGCUGAGGAGCGAAAGUGUGGGGAGCGAACAGG
rnacentral:rRNA from 1 species